rnacentral:lncRNA from 1 species
UUGCAUUUUUAUUGUUUUUUUCCCACCCUACCUCCUUCCCUUGUUCUUUUCAGCAGCAGCAGCCGCCUCUGCUCCACUCUUCGUCUUGCUCACACUCCAUGCUGCCAAAUGGAAACUAAGGUGUUCAGGGAAUGGGGCAUACUUCCACAAAUUCCAUUUUAAAAUGGAUUGAUCAAGAAGUCCUUCCUCGGGUUAACCCUUACAUGGUGUUAAGAAGAAUUUCACCAAGUGGAUCUCAUUAUUGCAGACCCAUUGAGAUUGGAAGCUUCCUUCCACAAAGGAGCAAUGCACUGUUAUGUGAAGACUGGUGGAUCUCUAGUCGGCUGCAGCUGAGAUACAGAAAGCAUGAACUUAUAAAUCCUGAUGAUUUGGGGGAUCUAUUGGCAUACAACAAUUUUGUCCUUAUAAAGAAAAGCAUCAAAGUAGAAGAACUUGAUUACAGUAUCAGAGACUUGGUGUGCUAUCAUCAUGGUAGAAAGCAUGGGGGCACAUAGGCAGACAUGGUGCUGGAGGAGCUGAGAGUUUUACAUAUGAAUCUGCAGACAACAAGAAGAGAGAGACACUGGGCCUGGCUUGGGUCCUUAAGCCUUAGAGACAUACUUCCUCCAAUUGGCCACACCUCCUAAUCCCGGUCUGUACCCUGUGAGCUGGUGAAGUCAGUUUUUACUGGUGUCUACAAGACCGUGGGAAUCUACCUAACACCGCUGAGUCUGGAUGGUGUCAUCUGUAGUAAGCAAUGCACACAUCUGAGAAUACAGACCUGGAGGUCCAAGGCUUAAGGAUGCUCUGCUGGUGAGCCUGAAACCCAACCCGCCAGGACAAGUUGCUAGCUGUUUGCUGAAUGUGUAUCAUUACUCUUUCUGCAUGGGUAUUUAAGUUAUACAUCUUGAACGUGAUGGAAUUUCUAAGUUACUAUAAGACUCUGGGGAGCCUUAGCUUACCGGGGACCCCCUGAGUGAACCAUGUGGAGCUGGGAUAGAGGCAAAAAGCAAGAGGAAUUAUAUUGUUCCAGUGCACUGGGUUCAUCCCAGACCUGAAGGGGAAUAGAUUAUUUUCAGGAUAAAUUAAAUGAAAUUAUAUAUGUUGGAAUGGAGUUGGCUCCCUGGCAGUUGCGGAGGCUGAAGUGUCCUACCAUCUGUUGUCUGCAAACCUGAGAACUAGAAAAGAUAGAGGAUAGAAAGAAAGCAGAGAGAGAGAGACAAAGAAAGCCUGGUACUCACAACACACGCCACGGGAUCUUAAGACUUCUGGACAAGCUUACAGAGGAAUAUUUGAAGAAUUGCAAAAAGUCCCCUCUAUG